rnacentral:lncRNA from 1 species
AUGAAUAUUAAUAAUCACAUUUUCUUACUCAGAGAUGUCCAGAUAUGGAAAGAGAAUGUCUUUACUUUGGUUUAAUCAGAUACAAGGACAAGUAGACUUGUGGAUACUGCCCACUUUUGUAAGUGAUCUGAACAGCAAGCUUUGAAGAGCUGAUAGACUGGCAUUUCCUCAAAAGGAUCUCUACAUACAGUGUGAAAAAAAUAAGAGAAGAAAUGGAAGCCUAGAGGCAAGAUGACAGAAGAAACUGUAGUGUUAAUCCAGAUAAGACAUUGAAGAGCUAAACCAGGAUUUUGGUAAGACAGAUGGAGAGAUGUGAAUGGAUCUGAAUGCUACCAAGAAGGUCAAAUUCAACGGUGCUUACAGGCAUACCUUGGAAACAUUGCAGAUUUAGUUCUAGAACACCACAGUAAAGCAAAUAUUGCAAGAAAAUGAAUCACAUGAAUUUUGGGUUUCCCAGCGCACAUAAAAGUUAUGUUUACACUAUACUAUAGUCUAAGUGUGUAAUAGCAUUAUGUAUUUUAAAAGUACAUGCCUUAAUUAAAAAAUAUUUUAUUGCU